UACGGGGGGGGCAAGCGUUGUUCGGAAUUACUGGGCGUAAAGGGCGCGUAGGCGGCCUGCUAAGUCGGACGUGAAAUCCCCCGGCUCAACCGGGGAACUGCGUCCGAUACUGGUGGGCUCGAAUCCGGGAGAGGGAUGUGGAAUUCCAGGUGUAGCGGUGAAAUGCGUAGAUAUCUGGAGGAACACCGGUGGCGAAGGCGGCAUCCUGGACCGGCAUCGACGCUGAGGCGCGAAAGCCAGGGGAGCAAACGGG
rnacentral:rRNA from 1 species